rnacentral:rRNA from 1 species
UGGGGAAUAUUGCACAAUGGGCGCAAGCCUGAUGCAGCAACGCCGCGUGAGGGACGACGGCCUUCGGGUUGUAAACCUCUUUUGGCAGGGAAGAAGCGAAAGUGACGGUACCUGCAGAAAAAGCACCGGCUAACUACGUGCCAGCAGCCGCGGUGAUACGUAGGGUGCAAGCGUUGUCCGGAAUUAUUGGGCGUAAAGAGCUCGUAGGCGGUUUGUCGCGUCUGCUGUGAAAACCCGAGGCUCAACCUCGGGCCUGCAGUGGGUACGGGCAAACUAGAGUGCGGUAGGGGAGAUUGGAAUUCCUGGUGUAGCGGUGGAAUGCGCAGAUAUCAGGAGGAACACCGAUGGCGAAGGCAGAUCUCUGGGCCGAUACUGACGCUGAGGAGCGAAAGCGUGGGGAGCGAACA